CUUCCUGUGGAAGGAGGGAAGAAGGGAAAGACAAAAGAAAGAUCAGGUUGUUUAUAAAUGUAGAUGACCAGGGACCCCACACCAAGGAGAGUAGUGCUUUACUUGGGAAUAAUCCCCUCUCUCUUUCUCCCCCUUUGUCAUGUAACAGAGAUAUGUAAUGAAUAUGUAGGGUCAGAACCUUCAAGGCAACAUGUGUUGGUCUCUCCUCAUCCUCACGAGAGUGUCAGGCAAGGAUGACUACCUCACGCCCAUAAGAAGGCUGCAGCUUAGUAAGUGGGAGGUAGAUGUUCAAGACCUUGUUGACGGGAGAUGAGCAGGAAACCAGGUCUGCAUGACCUCAAAGCCCGAUGCAGCAACAGGACUCUCUAUGUGGUCUCUUCUACCUGUAAGCCUUCAGAUCUGGUGCUAGGAUGGUUUCUCCUGGGCAAACCACUCUCAGAAAUCACUCUUUGCCCACCCCACCAAUUGGGGUGUCCUCCUAAACAGAGGAGGCUGGAGGUGGACACAGGGUAUCUGGGUUAAGUGUGGAGAUACCAGAGGAGCUGGGACAGUGGGUGGACUGUCCUUAUUGCUUUUUCUAGGGUCAUCUGCAAGACAGGAGAGUUUUUCCGGAUGGGACUCAAGGAAAUAGUUUAGUAUACACCAAGAGGGUAGACUCAAGAGCCCAGUCCUAUUCCCAGAAUGGCCACUUAACUGGCCAUGGGUCUUGGCCUCAACUUCCUUAGCUGAGCACUGGGAUAAUUUUUCUGUCUUUUCCUUGAGUUUAGGACAUGAGGAAUGGAUGCUGUCAGUGAUGGCGACCCUGGAAUGUGGGAGGUGGCAGAGGCAGGUGCUCACCUGAGUGCUCAUGCUGUUCACUUUGUCCAACAGGGCAAUGAUCAAGCUGUAGAGAUUUCCCAGAUACAGCACCAGGACCCUGAAAGCCACAGGCCCACCUUGAGCACAAGACCCCCACAUCCAAUUCCACGGACCCACAGCCACCACACAAUUCUAGACUGUGCUACAGUGGGCACCCAGAGCCCUCGCUGUUGAGGGUACCCUGAUCAGGGUAACAGUUCUUUCUAAACUGAGCCCUCAUUAUUCAGGUUUAAUGGCAGUGUUGGCACUUCGUGAUAAUGUGUUUUGGGUUGCAGUUUGGGCUCUCCUUUCUAAAAGGUUCACCAUUACUGUUGUAGAUGAUUGCGGAGAAACUGUGGCUACUGCACCACACUGGCAUUCUUUAAAUUGCCACGGGGCAUUAAAGUGCAGAAUUCGAGAUCUACCCUACUUCAGGAGAGCUUCUCGGGAGGGGAAGUAGGAGGCCUUAUCUAUCCUUUCAAGGGGGUUCUGGGGGGCCCUCCUUGGAUCAGAGUUUUAGAACACUUGUGUGGCAGAAAACAUGUGAGUUUAGGAAGGGGUUCCCCGUAGGGCUGUGAAUGAAGCACAUGUCUCUGUGCUCUUCCUCACCCCCUGGCAGCCCUGUGAAGCUCAGGCAUCCUGAUUCCUACUUAGAGGUCAAAGGAAUAGAAACAGACAGCACUAUCUGUCACUGCUCGGUUUACAAGGUCACAGCAAGUCAGGACUAAACUUGGGAUCCCAGUGCCUUGUGUUUGUGCCUCAGGCCAGACACCAGGGGGACACAGAGGGCCUGAGAGUAUAGCUAUAGCAUCCACUGUGGGUGACCAGAGCCUGCCAGACAGCCUCUGUUGGUGAGUGACAAACCUGGUGUUGGCCUCCUGGAAUUGGGAAAUUUGGAAAGCUGUGUGGGAUAGUCCAGGAUGCUUCGGUCCUGUGGGAAACCAUGGUGACCUGAGCCUAGGAAGGAGGUGGCAGGCUCCAUGUGUGUCCCUGUGACAACAGUGAGCAGGCUGAGGAUCAUGAGUCCAAUGCCAGUGGGUAGAAAAAAAGCUUUAUGUUGGAGAAAAAGCUCCUAGUGAAAAUAGGAGUCCACUGUCACCAGAGGUGGCCUUCCUCUCCUCAGGGGAGGGCCCUGCUUGUGCACAGGCUGGGGGCAUCUCCAGGGCAGACUGGGGCUUUCUACUGCCCUGCAGAACUACCUCCUGGGUGCUGGCUGAGGGGCGGGUGGAGUCUCUUACUGCUGCAUGGCUAUUUUCACUUCGCGUUGGAUGAAAGGCCAGUGAAUUAGUGCAGCUGAAAUAAUGUGCCCAUUCCUGUUACCAGAAUCAGCCCUAAUUUGUCUGGGCUAAGUCUCUCCAUGCCUCUGUUUCUCCAGUUUUGCGCAUGAAUAAUGAGGCCAAUCUGUGUAAUAGGAUUGCUGUUAGACCAAAUGAAAUAAUAGAAUUGAUUCCACCCCAUGCCCGUCAGGGAGGCAAGCUGAGGAAGGCGCUUCAGUCCCCUGGGUGGAGGAGAUGCAGAGCAGGGCAGAGCAGAGCAGAACAAACUAGCUAGACCUUCACCCCGGAUUUACCUGGGCUCUGAGGUCUGGGUCAGCUCCUCGCUCUUUCCGGUCCUAACUUUCUAUCUUUGAAACGACAGUUGGGAUUCAGGGAUUGGGGAAUUGCAACCCUCAAGCCAGCCUUACCCUGGUCUAUUUUCGGAAAUAAAUUUGUGCUGCAGCCUGGCCCUGGCCUUCUGUUUUCAAAUUGUAUGUGGUUACAACUGGAAAGUUUAGCAUUGUGACAGAUGGAUGUGCAGGAGCCACAAAAUGUAAACUAUUUAGUCUCAGGUCCUUUGCAGAAUUGUGAUGCCUGUGGGUUCCCAAAGGGAGGAAGUCUUCCCAAAGUGCUUGGUGACCGCUGGCUCUGGAGGAUGGUAUUAGAUCUCCCAGGAGAAAGCAUGGUGAACUGGCUAUGCCACCUCCCACUGCCACUGCGGGCCACAGAGACUUUGUUAACCCUGCUGGCUUUGUUAGGAAGGGGCCUCACCGCAGGGAGAGGAGCGAGACUUUCAGGACCGAGUCCUUGCUAGGAAAGACAGCACUGUUCUGACUCCCACAUGUGACUGAGAUGUCACCACGAACACAGGAUACAGUUACCAUCCAUUUCUUUACCCCAGAGGGUCCUGACAGCUCCAGAGGCCUCCAGUGCCUUCCAGGAGGAUCUCUACUUUGGGGAAUCAUCAACAACAUAUAUACUGCUCCUCUUGCUUCUGAACAAAACAAUGUGGGUCUCUUCACGAUUCACAGUCAAACCACAGGAGGAAUUCAGCAAUGAGGAAAACCAGACACGCAUCCUGUCAUCUUCUUGCUCCUCCCUUCUUGCCCCGCUCCUCCUCCUCCUCCUCUUGUCAAUUGCCUGUGAAUCUGGUUCUUCUGUACUUUGCAUUGUGACUCCCUUCUCUGCCUCGCCCUUUUCUCUCCUGCGGUAACCCACUUUUUUGAGUUGCCCCCACAGGUGCAGCACUGGCUGUGUGUCGGGGACUGAAGACAGCCAAGAUCUGGUGUGGGUCCCUCUUGGCACAGUGCCUACCUUGCCAGCUGGAAACGCAGUGUGGUCCGGGGAUGGUACAUCUCCAAGGCAGCGAUGAGGUCAAAGGCAGACGGGGCCAACAUGACACUGACUGUGAGUGUGAAGACCCAGAAAGGAUCUGCGAGGAGAAGAGGUGUUCUCCCACCAAAGACAGGACCGCACCCCGUCCUGGCUCACCUGCCCUCCAUCCAUCCUUUGGUGGCAGAGCUUCAGCCUCGCAGCUCAGCUCUCAGGUCUCCUGAAGGACUUCACACCUGGAAAGCCCCCUGGAAGGCUGAUAGCCUCCUUUAAGGAAAAACACCAGCAGCAUCAGAAGCUCAGCAUGAUCAUUAACUGCGGACCACUGGAGAUAAUGUAGCUGGCACUUAACACAUCUUCCCAAUGCCUACGAAUUCCCCCUGUAAGCUUCCACUAAUAGAGAUGAAUUUGAUACUAGUGAUCUCAUAAUCACUUGAGGAAAGGGAACUGGAGAUUGGGAAAAGAGUGGAAGAUGGGAAAACUGAUAUCUUGAAAUACUGUUGUUUUUUUUAAACUAGGGCUCUAAGUGGUCUGUGGAGUCCACGGUGGCCCAAGGCUCUGACUGUUUUUCAAAAGAAUGAUAUCGAAGAUAAAAAUAAAAACCCGUACCCCUA